rnacentral:rRNA from 1 species
CAAGUGAAGAGUUUGAUCCUGGCUCAGAUUGAAUGCUGGCGGCAUGGCUAAAACAUGCAAGUCGAACGAACCCGCAAGGGUGAGUGGCGAAAGGGUUAGUAACACGUUCGAAUGUACCCCGAGGUGGAGGAUAGCGGGAAGAAAUUUCCGGUAAUACUCCAUGAUGUCUUAGGACCAAAGUUUUGGCGCCUUGGGAGCAGCGAUCGUCCUAUCAGGUAGUUGGCGGGGUAAUGGCCCACCAAGCCGAAGACGGGUAGCGGGUGUGAGAGCACGGCCCGCAACAUCGGAACUGAGACACUGUCCGGACUCCUACGGGAGGCUGCAGUAACGAAUCUUCCGCAAUGGGCGCAAGCCUGACGGAGCAAUGCCGCGUGCGGGAUGAAGUAUCUCUGGUAUGUAAACCGCUGUCAGGGGGCAGAAACAAUGAUUGCCCCCAGAGGAAGUGGCGACUAACUCUGUGCCAGCAGUCGCGGUAAUACAGAGGCCACAAGCAUUAGUCGGAAUCACUGGGCUUAAAGGGUGCGUAGGUUGCUCGCCAAGUGCACUGUGAAAUCCCACGGCUCAACCGUGGAACCGCAGGGCAUACUGGCGGGCUUGAGGCAAGUAGGGGCUGACGGAACAGUAGGUGGAGCGGUGAAAUGCGUAGAUAUCUACUGGAACGCCGAUGGUGAAGACGGUCAGCUGGGCUUGUCCUGACACUGAGGCACGAAAGCGUGGGGAGCAAACAGGAUUAGAUACCCUGGUAGUCCACGCCGUAAACGAUGCACACUGGACCGGUGCGGUUUUGACGCCGUAUCGGUCGUAGUAAAAACGAUAAGUGUGCCGCCUGGGGAGUACGGUCGCAAGAUUAAAACUCAAAGGAAUUGACGGGAGCUCACACAAGCGGUGGAGCAUGUUGCUUAAUUCGAGGCAACGCGAAGAACCUUACCUGGGUUUGACAUGCUUGGAUUAACCUCUUGAAAGAGAGGCCACGCCCUUCGGGUGGAACAAGCACAGGUGCUGCAUGGCUGUCGUCAGCUCGUGCUGUGAAGUGUCGGGUUAAGUCCCUUAACGAGCGCAACCCCUGUCGCUAGUUGCUCACAGGUUAUGCUGAGUACUCUAGCGAGACUGCCGGUGUCAAACCGGAGGAAGGUGGGGAUGACGUCAAGUCCUCAUGGCCCUUACAUCCAGGGUUGCAAACGUGCUACAAUGGUGCAUACAGAGCGACGCGAGGCCGCGAGGCGGAGCAAAUCGCAAAAAAUGCACCCCAGUUCGGAUUGCAGGCUGCAAUUCGCCUGCAUGAAGUCGGAAUCGCUAGUAAUCGGAGAUCAGCUACGCUCCGGUGAAUAUGUUCCUGAGCUUUGUACACACCGCCCGUCACGUCAUGGGAGCCAGAAGCGCCCGAAGCCGCCCUAAUUCAAAGGUGUCUACGGCGAUGCUGGUGACUGGGACGAAGUCGUAACAAGGUAGCCGUAGGAGAACCUGCGGCUGGAUCACCUCCUUU